rnacentral:hammerhead_ribozyme from 1 species
AUCCAGAUGACGAAUCCCAAAUAGGACGAAAUGCCCAUCCUGGAU